AUGGAACCCAGGACAGCACUUCCUGUUGAUGAUAAGUCUGAUGUGCAAGAAGGUGUGGUGCUUCCAGAAACUUGUGGCUUCAGAGUGAUUGGACCCCUGGAUGCCCGAAUCACCCAGAGUCCAAGAUUUAAGGUCACACAGACAGAAAAAGAAGUGAUCAUAAAGUGUCACCAGACUGAUAACCAUGACUAUAUGUACUGGUAUCGCCAAGACCUGGGUCAUGGGCUGAAGCUGAUCCAUUACUCAUAUGGUGUUGACAACAUUGAUAAAGGAGAUGUCCCUGAUGGGUACAGUGUCAAGAGAUCAAACACAGAGGACUUCCCCCUCACGCUGGAGUCUGCUACUACCUCCCAGACAUCUGUGUACUUCUGUGCCAGCAGUGAAUCCACAGCACUACAUGGCUGCCUCCUCUCUGCACGAAAAGGAUGGUUAGAAAACCUGAGGUUGCACUCUGAGGCUUGGCUAAACCCCAGAAAGUUACUGCCAGCCUGGAGACAUCAUGGCAUCAUGGCAUCAUGGCCCUCAGGGCUGAAGUACAUCCCUAGGUCAGCCUCAGCCUGACCGGAGACCACCCCAACCUCCUUAGCUCACUGGUUU